AUUGAACGCUGGCGGCAUGCCUUACACAUGCAAGUCGAACGGCAGCACGGGAGCAAUCCUGGUGGCGAGUGGCGAACGGGUGAGUAAUAUAUCGGAACGUGCCCAGUCGGGGGGGAUAACGUAGCGAAAGCUACGCUAAUACCGCAUACGAUCUAUGGAUGAAAGCGGGGGAUAGCAAGACCUCGCGCGAUUGGAGCGGCCAACAUCAGAUUAGGUAGUUGGUGAGGUAAAGGCUCACCAAGCCGACGAUCUGUAGCUGGUCUGAGAGGACGACCAGCCACACUGGGACUGAGACACGGCCCAGACUCCUACGGGAGGCAGCAGUGGGGAAUUUUGGACAAUGGGCGCAAGCCUGAUCCAGCAAUGCCGCGUGCAGGAUGAAGGCCUUCGGGUUGUAAACUGCUUUUGUACGGAACGAAACGGCGAGCUCUAAUACAGUUUGCUAAUGACGGUACCGUAAGAAUAAGCACCGGCUAACUACGUGCCAGCCGCCGCUGUAA
rnacentral:rRNA from 1 species